GGGGAGGUAAUGCGGGGUGUGCGGUACCUGGGCGCGGGCCUGUGUUUGGGGAGGUAAUGCGGGGUGUGUGGUACCUGGGCUCGGGCCUGUGUGUGGGGAGGUAAUGCGGGGUGUGCGGUACCUGGGCGCGGGCCUGUGUUUGGGGAGGUAAUGCGGGGUGUGCGGUACCUGGGCGCGGGCCUGUGUUUGGGGAGGUAAUGCGGGGUGUGCGGUACCUGGGCUCGGGCCUGUGUGUGGGGAGGUAAUGCGGGGUG